rnacentral:lncRNA from 12 species
AUGUUCAAGAAAGAAAUUAGAAAAUUAAAAGCAAUAAUUACCUUGGUUUUCUCCCAGGUUGAUAAGAUGGCUCAACUAGUUACAAGAAAUUCAAUAAUAUUUUGCCUGAUUUUCUUCUUGCUGCAAGUUACCCCCCAAAUGUGUCUGGAUCGUGACAGAUGGGAAAGAAUCUUCUUCAGUGACCAGAAUCUCUGCCGACAGCCUUGGGAGCCCAAAGCUCCAGUUUGAUACACCUGUGUGAUGGAAACAGUCUGCAUAACUGCACUGGUUUGUCCUUUAAUCAUGUCUUUAGUGGAUGUUUGAUGCCUACGCACAUGUGAUGUCCUUCUCCCAAGUACCCCAAUGGUGAGUCGUACCUUCGAGCUUGAUUUAUAGCUGUUGUGAUGUGUGAUGUCAAGUUAUUCACAUUGUCCAGGCACGCCAUGUGCCACCAUCUGAGUGGGGCCACCAAGAGUUUUUAGGCAAAAGCCUCUGGCUCUAGGGCAGCUAAGAUUUUGCCUUUUG